AUCCUUUCUCUUUAUUCUUAAAAGUUAAAUAAGAAAGCAUUCAGGCUGAUUUUUAAACAAGCUGAUAUUAAAAUGAACAUUUUUUGGUUUGUUUUUUUUGUUUGUUUGUUUUGCAAAUUGCCACCUCCCAGCAUGUUUAAGCACAUCUUUUGUGCUCUGAAAAGCUCAGGGAGGGAAAUUUAUUUCUGCUGCCUUUUCAAUGAUUCUCUGAGCAGAGCUAUCUUCCAGCCUGGGGCAGGUUGCUCAGCUCCACCAGGCCCUGUUUCAGCUUAACACCUUGGUAAAUCAGCAAGGACAUCUGAGAGCUGCUUGCAGAUCUUGAUGGUAGGAGGCUGGUUCUUGCUGGAAGUGCACUUACAGGAACAGAAAGCAGCAUUAUACCUUUCAUUUUAUAUACAGAAAGCAUUGUGUGUCAGGCCUUUUGUCUGAGAGCAUGCCUCUGUUCGCUGUUUUCACAUGCAAGCCUUUUGAAGGAGACAAUAAAGUUUCUCAGAAAAUCUUCAGCUAGGAAGAUAGUUGAAAUGCAUCUGGAGUUUAAGUUUAAAGUUAUAAUAUUCAAGGUUUAUGAAAGCAACAAGCUGAGAUUUCCCAGGGAGCUAAUUGCUCAGCUUCCAGUGGCAUUUCAAAGUAGAUUUCAGGAAAUAGACUCCUGUCUGUUAACAUCAUUUAUAAUCAAGAAAAACAAAAGCACUUCUUCCAUCAUCAGUGACAUAGCGCCACUCAAAAAGGAGUCUUUGGUCUAAUUACAGACCUUUUGAUCUUAUUGCACUGACCAGCAGUGCUGAACAGUCUACCUCUGGAGCAGGAGGCCCUGAGAGCAUCAUGCUUUGGUAGGACCGUGCUGGAGGCAGGAAACCUGGAAGAUAUCUGCAGCAGUUGAGUGAAACCAUCUCCUAGCUAUGGGCACUCCAUAGAGCAAUCAAGGGGCUAACCAGUAUCCUACAUCAGUGGAAAUUUAAGCUUAAAUAAGGUUUCAUUCUCAUUUUUAUUUUACAAACAGCAAAAAUAAACAAGGAAACAUUUCCACAGCCACUUUUAAACUGAAGCUGAAACAAAGCUACGCACACAAGGAGAGAUACUCGGCUCAUCUAUUUUAUAUCUCCUUUUAAUGUUAGGCAGGCUAAAGGAAAUAAUCACCCCAUGUCCUAGGCUCUCCCCCAUACAAACCUGCAGACUUACCUCUACCACCCAGUUCACAGAAAAACUGCAAAUGCACACAAGCAACUGAUGGAGAAAAUUACUGAGUGAAUCCCACCAUGCAAUCAUCAUGAGAGUGCUGGGAAGGAGCUGCUCAUGGCAGUCACUAGAAAAGAGCAAGGAAAGUAAAGGUAAAUACGUAUUGUUCUAUUAUGGCACCAGAAUCUAAGAGCCUGUAGCCAGCUCUGUUCAGCUUAAGAAGGACUCCAAGUGCUCCUCUGAAAUCACCCACCCCACUUGAAAUGCCAUCCCAUCUGCUUGAGGCUAUGAAGGAGUAUGAAGCAGCCCAUACUCCAUCUAACACCAUAGAGUACCCAAGGCGUUCAUAUAAACAUGGCAGUAUUACAGCAGCUCCCAAAGACCCAGGCCUGCUUUCACCCCGAGCAGAUUUACCUACAUGUACAAAAAGUAUAGCACAGCUCAAGCAAUCUUUGCCACAGCCCAUUUAUAGAAACAUUUGAGUGGAAAGUCCAACUGCCAUAUAACAACAGGUACACCUACAGCUCCAUCAGGUGCUCAGAGCCCCAUCCAGCCUGACCUUGGGUGUCUCCAAGGACAGGGCAUCCACCAGCUCUCUGAGCAACCUAUUUCAGUGCCUCACCACCCCUAUUGU
rnacentral:lncRNA from 7 species